rnacentral:sRNA from 1 species
GUUAUUGAGAAACAUGGCGUUGCUGGUGCGAGUCCUUAGGAACCAGACUAGCAUUUCUCAGUGGGUUCCAGUAUGCAGCCGAUUGAUACCUGUGUCUCCUACCCAAGGACAGGGGGACAGGGCUCUGUCUGGCACUUCCCAGUGGCCCCAGAUGAGCCAGUCCCGAGCAUGUGGUGGAUCAGAACAGAUUCCUGGAAUAGACAUACAGCUGAAUAGGAAGUAUCACACCACACGUAAGCUUUCUACUACCAAAGAUUCCCCACAGCCUGUUGAGGAGAAGGUUGGUGCUUUCACAAAGAUAAUAGAAGCCAUGGGAUUCACGGGACCUUUGAAAUACAGUAAAUGGAAGAUUAAGAUUGCGGCCCUGCGCAUGUAUACUAGCUGUGUGGAGAAAACUGACUUCGAGGAAUUCUUUCUAAGGUGUCAGAUGCCUGAUACAUUCAAUUCAUGGUUUCUUAUAACCCUACUCCACGUCUGGAUGUGUCUAGUCCGAAUGAAGCAGGAAGGCCGGAGUGGGAAGUACAUGUGUCGUAUCAUAGUUCAUUUUAUGUGGGAGGAUGUUCAGCAGCGCGGCAGAGUCAUGGGGUGGGUUCGUGGUCUCGCUGACUUCAAGAAUGAAGCCGCAGACCUUCACAGCGAGUGUUACAGCUCUUAAAGGUGGUGCAGACCCAAAGAGUGAGCAGCAGCAAGAUUUAUGGUGAAGAGUGACAGAACAAAGCUUCCACAGUGUGGAAGGGGGACCUGAGCGGGUUGCCACUGCUGGCUAGGGUGGCCAGCUUUUAUUCCCUUAUUUGUCCCUGCCCAUGUCUGCUGAUUGGUCCAUUUUACAGAGUGCUGAUUGGUGCGUUUUUACAGAGUGCUGAUUGGUGCAUUUACAAUCCUGUAGCUAGACACAGAGCGCUGAUUGGUGUGUUUUUACAGAAUGCUGAUUGGUGCAUUUACAAUCCUCUAGCUAGACACAGAGCGCUGAUUGGUGCAAGUCCCCACCC